GAUGAACGCUGGCGGCGUGCUUAACACAUGCAAGUCGAACGAUGAAGCUCAGCUUGCUGGGUGGUUUAGUGGCGAACGGGUGAGUAACACGUGAGUAACCUGCCCUUAACUCUGGGAUAAGCCUGGGAAACUAGGUCUAAUACCGGAUAGGAGCGCCUACCGCAUGGUGGGUGUUGGAAAAAUUUAUCGGUUUUGGAUGGACUCGCGGCCUAUCAGCUUGUUGGUGAGGUAAUGGCUCACCAAGGCGACGACGGGUAGCCGGCCUGGGAGGGUGACCGGCCACACUGGGACUGAGACACGGCCCAGACUCCUACGGGAGGCAGCAGUGGGGAAUAUUGCACAAUGGGCGAAAGCCUGAUGCAGCGACGCCGCGUGAGGGAUGACGGCCUUCGGGUUGUAAACCUCUUUCAGUAGGGAAGAAGCGAAAGUGACGGUACCUGCAGAAGAAGCACCGGCUAACUACGUG
rnacentral:rRNA from 1 species